CCUACGGGAGGCAGCAGUGAGGAAUAUUGGUCAAUGGUCGGGAGACUGAACCAGCCAAGCCGCGUGAGGGAUGAAGGUACAGAGUAUCGUAAACCUCUUUUGUCAGGGAACAAAGGCGGGGACGUGUCCCCGGAUGAGUGUACCUGAAGAAAAAGCAUCGGCUAACUCCGUGCCAGCAGCCGCGGUAAUACGGAGGAUGCGAGCUUUAUCCGGUUUUAUGGGGUUUAAAGGGUGCGCAGGCGGUCUGUUAAGUCAGCGGUCAAAGCCCGGGGCUCAACCCCGGCCCGCCGUUGAAACUGGCAGUCUCGAGUUGGAGAGAAGUAUGCGGAAUGCGCGGUGUAGCGGUGAAAUGCAUAGAUAUCGCGCAGAACUCCGAUUGCGAAGGCAGCAUGCCGGCUCCACACUGACGCUGAGGCACGAAAGCGUGGGUAUCGAACAGGAUUAGAUACCCUUGUAGUC
rnacentral:rRNA from 1 species